GGUGGAGGUGAUGGACGGCGGGGACGAAAGGCGAAUGAGGAGAAGGGAAGGUGACAUACAAAAGAUAAGGGCGGCAGUGGGCGGCAAGGGGCACCGCGCUACAACACCAGGCGGUUCAAAACACUUAAUCUUCCAAAGUGCUUUGGUCAAUUUAGCUCCAGCGUGUUGAAUACGUCCACCUUUGAUGAGGACUUGCGAGGCGCCACUUUUAUCUGUCGCGGAGGGUCAAUACACGCGCAUUGAUGGGCAGCAAUGGAGAGUGAUGACGAUGAUGAUGACGAAUGAGGGGUGGGGGGAAGGAAGGUUUAGCCGUUUACUUAUUUCAUAUUUUUUUUUUGAGUUGUGUAUCUCUCUCUCUCUCUC